rnacentral:rRNA from 1 species
AGAGAGAGACAUGCGCGCAUAUCAAUAAGCGGAGGAAAAGAAACUAACUAGGAUUCCCUCAGUAACGGCGAGUGAAGCGGGAAGAGCUCAAAUUUGAAAUCUUCAAGGGUUCUACCUUUACGAAUUGUAGUUUAAAGAAGUGUUUUCUGUUGGAGUUUCGGUAAAAGUUCUUUGGAAAUAGGACAUCAUAGAGGGUGAGAAUCCCGUAUUUGACCAUUAUUUCCAGCUUUGUGAUACACUUUCAAAGAGUCGGAUUGUUUGGGAAUGCAGUCCAAAAUGGGUGGUAAAUUUCAUCUAAAGCUAAAUAUUGGCAAGAGACCGAUAGCGAACAAGUACCGUGAGGGAAAGAUGAAAAGAACUUUGAGAAGAGAGUUAAACAGUACGUGAAAUUGUCAAAAGGGAAGCGUUUGACACCAGUGUUGUUUUCUCGAAAAUCAAUUAAAAAUGGCUGGAUUUUGUGUUGUAUUGACUUUAUCAGCUUUCUGCACUUUUUUCAUGUCUUUUUUAAUGCACUUUUCGUUUAACAAGUCAACAUCAAUUUCUUUUGUUGUAAAAGAGUCAUUGGAAGGUGGCUUUCACUUUCGGUAGAAAGUGUUUAUAGCCUUUGACUCCUGCAAUCGGAGAGACUGAGGUCUGCAGCGUAGAUCCUUCGGGAUUAGAUUACAUUUGUGCUAAGUUAUAGCCUUUUCAUAGACAACAUUGUUGACUAUGAUCAAUCAUGUAGCUUACUCGCUUAUGUCUAUUUUACCUACGCUUAGGAUGUUGACAGCAGUAUAGACUGU